UACGGAGGGUGCGAGCGUUGUCCGGAAUCACUGGGCGUAAAGGGCGCGUAGGCGGCCUGGCAAGUCGAUGGUGAAAGCCCGAGGCUCAACUUCGGGUCGGCCACUGAUACUGCUGGGCUUGAGUCGACUAGAGGCAGAUGGAAUUCCGGGUGUAGCGGUGGAAUGCGUAGAGAUCCGGAAGAACACCGGUGGCGAAGGCGGUCUGCUGGGGUCGAACUGACGCUGAGGAGCGAAAGCAUGGGGAGCGAACAGG
rnacentral:rRNA from 1 species